UACGUAGGGUGCGAGCGUUAAUCGGAAUUACUGGGCGUAAAGGGUGCGCAGGCGGCGUCGCAAGUCAGGCGUGAAAUCCCCGGGCUUAACCUGGGAACUGCAUUUGAUACUGGGUUGCUUGAAUUCGGGAGAGGAUAGCGGAAUUCCCAGUGUAGAGGUGAAAUUCGUAGAUAUUGGGAAGAACACCGGUGGCGAAGGCGGCUAUCUGGACCGACAUUGACGCUGAGGCGCGAAAGCGUGGGGAGCAAACAGG
rnacentral:rRNA from 1 species